AGAUGAUGUCACACAAGAAGAUUGGGAUUACUUGUGCAAUCUUUUUUCUCUUGAAAAAUUUAAGAAAAGGGCUACUAUAAAUAGUGAAAAUCGUGAAAAGCUUCCAUUCAAUCAUCGUGGUGGAUCUAAACCAUUUGCAUUUCAUCGUCAGCAUAACUCAAUGAGUGUUGCCACUGGAGAGUUGCAAGGGGAAGUGGAGUUAUUUCGUGCCACUCACUACAAUGAAAGUAAGG